AUGCCUUAGAUUAGAGGGUAUUGUUCA
rnacentral:miRNA from 1 species